rnacentral:rRNA from 1 species
GAUGAACGCUGGCGGCGUGCCUAAUACAUGCAAGUCGAGCGAACAGACGAGGAGCUUGCUCCUUCGACGUUAGCGGCGGACGGGUGAGUAACACGUAGGUAACCUACCUAUAAGACUGGGAUAACUUCGGGAAACCGGAGCUAAUACCGGAUAAUAUUUCGAACCGCAUGGUUCGAUAGUGAAAGAUGGCUUUGCUAUCACUUAUAGAUGGACCUGCGCGGUAUUAGCUAGUUGGUAAGGUAACGGCUUACCAAGGCAACGAUACGUAGCCGACCUGAGAGGGUGAUCGGCCACACUGGAACUGAGACACGGUCCAGACUCCUACGGGAGGCAGCAGUAGGGAAUCUUCCGCAAUGGGCGAAAGCCUGACGGAGCAACGCCGCGUGAGUGAUGAAGGUCUUCGGAUCGUAAAACUCUGUUAUUAGGGAAGAACAAACGUGUAAGUAACUGUGCACGUCUUGACGGUACCUAAUCAGAAAGCCACGGCUAACUACGUG